GAUCCUUAUGAAAGUGUUAAGCUCAAUGACUUGUUGCUAAGGCAGUCACCAGAAGUCCCAGCACCAGAAAUGGCUGUGCACUAGCC